GAUGAAGAACGUAGCGAAAUGCGAUAAGUAAUGUGAAUUGCAGAAUUCAGCGAAUCAUCGAAUCUUUGAACGCACCUUGCGCCCUUUGGCUAUUCCGAAGGGCAUGCCUGUUUGAGUAUCAUGAACACCUCAACUCUCAUGGUUUGCCAUGAUGAGCUUGGACUUUGGGGGUCUUGCCGGCCUAUGGGUCGGCUCCUCUCAAAUUAAUCAGCUUGCCAGUGUUUGGUGGCAUCACAGGUGUGAUAACUAUCUACGCUUGUGGUUUUCCAUCAGGUAACCUUCAGUGAUGGAGGUUCGCUGGGGCUCAUAAAUGUCUCUCCUCAGUGAGGACAGCUUUUUUGAACGUUUGAUCUCAAAUCAGGUAGGACUACCCGCUGAACUUAAGCAUAUCAAUAAGCGGAGGA
rnacentral:misc_RNA from 1 species